rnacentral:rRNA from 2 species
AAACAGGUGCUAAUACCGCAUAACAACUUGGACCGCAUGGUCCGAGCUUGAAAGAUGGCUUCGGCUAUCACUUUUGGAUGGUCCCGCGGCGUAUUAGCUAGAUGGUGGGGUAACGGCUCACCAUGGCAAUGAUACGUAGCCGACCUGAGAGGGUAAUCGGCCACAUUGGGACUGAGACACGGCCCAAACUCCUACGGGAGGCAGCAGUAGGGAAUCUUCCACAAUGGACGAAAGUCUGAUGGAGCAACGCCGCGUGAGUGAAGAAGGGUUUCGGCUCGUAAAACUCUGUUGUUAAAGAAGAACAUAUCUGAGAGUAACUGUUCAGGUAUUGACGGUAUUUAACCAGAAAGCCACGGCUAACUACGUGCCAGCAGCCGCGGUAAUACGUAGGUGGCAAGCGUUGUCCGGAUUUAUUGGGCGUAAAGCGAGCGCAGGCGGUUUUUUAAGUCUGAUGUGAAAGCCUUCGGCUCAACCGAAGAAGUGCAUCGGAAACUGGGAAAC